rnacentral:lncRNA from 1 species
CUCAGCUGCCAGCUUCUUCAGGUCCCGACGCUGCCUCCUGGCUGUGUCUGGGAUCCCAGGCAGUCCCAAUUUCCGUGGCCGGCUCCUCGCUGGGGGGGACUCCCUCUGUUGACGCUGGUGGGUGACCGAGGCUGGCUCAAGCGGGUCCUCCCCAGGAUCCCAGGGGUCCAAGUCGGGCUCUAGCCUCCCAGUGGAUUCCCCUGAGGCCCCGACCGUGGAAAGCCGCCUCUCUUGGAGGGCGGCUGAGGAGGACGACAUGUCCCAGGAAUAGCGUGCAGGCAACAGGGACCCACGUGCAGGGCCCCUUCCCUGCCAGUAGGGGACCUGGCCCGAUGGCCUCCUGUGCCUGCUCUGGGCAGUGCUGCGCUUUAGAAUGGGUCUGGAGGACAGCCAACGCGUCACUGAAGAAGGGCUCCCGUCCUCAGAGGAGCCCGACUCGGGGAACUGUCAAGACAAAGCACAGAGGUUGUCCUAGAAGGUCUCAGGGAGCCGAGCCUGGGCCAGGCACUAACCCCACGGGCACAUUCCCCCGGAGUUAGACCACCUAGAGAUGACCUUCCAGUUGUGCCCCAGCAGGGAGCCAGCGGUCCAGGAAACCCCGCACAGGGCUAGACACUGCCUGCUGGGCCUGCCUCCCCUCCAGGUGUGUCUUUUUUUGGUCGAAACUUUAAGCGUCAGUCAAAAAUGUGUUUUAUAAGGAUGGGAUUGAAGAACAGAUGACUUUCAGGUGAAAAUAUUUUUUCAAGAAGAAAAGUGCAAAAUGUUGUCAAUGAUAUCAUCUUAACAUUUAAACUCAACAUAAAAAAGCAAAACUCUUGGCGAAUGCAGCAGUUUUUUGUACAAAGUGCUGACGGGGGUGGAGAUAAGAUGUUUUUGGAAAACUGAAUAUCCCCAAUCCCGUGACAGAUUGUAGCAAUUCCAUCGCGGCCAAUUUUUCUCCUCCAAAAUAAAGCCUCAAUUAAGCCAUUUCCACUCCUGUACUCACAGCCUUUUUUCAGAUGCUGACAAACUGUACUUGGCAAAUAUUUUUACUGUCAUCAUAAGGUGCUGGUCUCUGCAGCGCUCCUUGAGGUUUUUCACAUCACAACGAUUUGGCAGCAGAUUUAGCAGUUUCAUUGUUUCUUUGUAAGGAGCGCUCAUCUAUCUUUUAAACAUAUGCAUUAAUCCACACUGCUAAUUAACACUGCAGUGCAUCUAGCCAAUUCAUUACCAAUUGAGGUGACUUUCAAAGUAAUGUAGGACUUUUAAUUUAAUGUUGCAUCCCACCUAUGGAAUGGAGGAAAAUAUAUGCAAAGCGCAAAUCUGAUACAAGGAUAAUAUCCAAAAUAUACAAGGAACUCACACAACUCAAUAGCAAAAAACCCACAAAUAAUCCAAUUAAAAAUGAGCAAAGGGGGCUGGCCUGGUGACACAGUGGUUAGGUUUGCGUGCUCUGCUUCAGCAGCCCAGCCUUCAUGGGUUUGGAUCCUGGGUGUGGACCUACGCAACACUCAUCAAGCCAUGCUGUGGCAGGCGUCCCACACAAAAAAUAGAGGAAGGUUGGCACCAAUGUUAGCUCAGGGUCAAUCUUCCUCAUAAAAAAAAAAAUGGACAAAGGACCUGAAUAGAUAUUUCUCUAAAGAUGACAUACAAAUGGCCAACAGGUACAUGAAAAGGUGCUUAACGUCACGCAUCAUCAGGGAAAUGCAAAUCAAGGCCACAUGAGAUAUCACCUCACACCUGUUAGAAUGGCUGUCAUCGAAAAGACAAGAGAUAACAAGUGGUUAUACUAUACUAAUGGUAAUGAGGACGUGGAGAAAAGGAAACCUCUGUGCACUGCUGGUGGGAGUGGAAAUUGGUGCAGCCACUAUGGAAAACAGUAUGGAUGUUCCUCAAAAAAUUAAAAAUAGAACUGCCAUGUGAUACAGCUCUUCCACUUCUGGGUCUACAUCCAUAGAAGCUGAUAAUAGAAUCUGAGAGACACCUGCACCCCAUGUGCCCUGCAGCAUCCUUCACAGUGCAGAAACCUGCAGCCCCAUGUGCCCUGCAGCAUCCUUCACAGUGCAGAGACCUGCAGCCCCAUGUGCCCCGCAGCAUCCUUCACAGUGCAGAGACCUGCACCCCAUAUGCCCUGCAGCAUCCUUCACAGUGCAGAGACCUACAGCCCCGUGUGCCCCGCAGCAUCCUUCAUAGUAGAGAGACCUGCACCCCAUGUGCCCUGCAGCAUCCUUCAUAGUAGAGAGAUCUGCAGCCCUGUGUGCCCUGCAGCAUCCUUCACAGUGCAGAGACCUGCACCCCAUGUGCCCCACAGCAUCCUUUACAGUAGCCAGGGAAUAUUGAAUCCGACUCUAAUGAGACAAUCUCGUGCAUUCAGUUUUCGGCAGUAGGAGUAACAGUUUCCUGUUACAAUGUCCUUUUGAAGCAAGGACACCUAAAACUGUUAAGAAAGCCGUUGUCACACAGGGUGUAGGAGGAACUAGAACUUUACUUAAAGAGAAAGAGAAUAAAAUGUUCCAAAGGGAAUGAUUCUGCCCUUUCCAGAAGCCUGCUCAUCCUGUAGGAGUAGCAACUGCAUCCAACUGCCCAGACAGGGCCAGCAGUCAGCAAGAACCAGGGCUCACGUGAGGAAACUCAGGAAAAGCACAUCAGCAGCCUUGAUAACAGUCCCCUCCAGGCCCAGGCCAAGGCUGAGGGCUGCCUCCUCCAGGUGCCAUCUGCCCAGGGCUGGCUUCUGCUUGGGGUGAUGACACUGCCACUUUGCUUUCCUUGAAUUCGUGAUACAUAUUUGUGCAUGAAGAGGAGAAUCUGGCAGCGAAUUUUGGGG